CAGUAGCCGCGGUAAUACGUAGGGUGCGAGCGUUAAUCGGAAUUACUGGGCGUAAAGCGUGCGCAGGCGGUUAUAUAAGACAGAUGUGAAAUCCCCGGGCUCAACCUGGGACCUGCAUUUGUGACUGUAUAGCUAGAGUACGGUAGAGGGGGAUGGAAUUCCGCGUGUAGCAGUGAAAUGCGUAGAUAUGCGGAGGAACACCGAUGGCGAAGGCAAUCCCCUGGACCUGUACUGACGCUCAUGCACGAAAGCGUGGGGAGCAAACAGGAUUAGAUACCCCCGUAGUCCCUGUCUCUUAUAC
rnacentral:rRNA from 1 species